CUUCGUGUACCCUCAGAGUCCAAGCCCUAACAAAAGUCAAAAACCCUUUCCAGCCUCUGUGUCAAAUCUGAAACACAAGCAUUUUGCUGUCUGAAAUGGCCGCCAAUAAACCUAGCAGAAGCUUGCUUUCUCUGCUUCAAAAACGUUUUCUAUUAACAUUUUCUUCUGCACUUUCUCCUCCUACAGCUCAAUUACCCACCUGUAGCUCUUCUUCAUCGUCGUCGUCCUUUACAGUUCAUUUCCUUGUGAAUUCAUGCGGGCUCACUUCAAAAUCUGCUCUUUCAGUUUCCAAGAAGUUCCAAAUCCGUGAAAACAACCUCCAAAACCCUCAAUCCGUACUCCAGUUCUUGAAAGCUCAUGACUUUAGCGAAACCCAUAUUUCCAAAUUGAUUGAAAAGCGACCCAAGAUUCUCCUGCGCAGAAUUGAAGACAAUCUGAAAGCCAAGUUUGACUUCUUUAUUGAGAAUGGUUUUGCGGGUCAGCUUCUGCCCCAACUUAUUUUAUCAAAUCCGGUGAUUUUGGAAAGGGCCUUAGAUUCCCAUAUUAAACCAUCUCUUCUGUACUUCAAGUCUAUUCUCGGUACCAGCGAGAAAGUUAUUGCAGCUUCCAAACGUUCUGUGUUUUUGUUGACUUGUGAUUGGAACAGUAUCGUGCUACCAAAUGUUGAUUUCUUGAUUAAAGAGGGAGUGCCUGUUGAUAGGGUUGCAAAGUUGUUUCUGUUUCACCCACAGGUUGUGCAACGGAAGCAUGAUAGGAUGGUUUAUGCAGUGAAUACUGUCAAGGAUUUGGGACUUGAACCAGAGGUUUCUAUUUUUAUAUAUGCUCUAACUACCAUGAUGCAAUCGAGCGAGUCCACUUUGAAGAAGAAAGUUGAAGUGUUGAAGAGUUUGGGGUGGACGGAGGAGGAGAUUUUCCGGGCUUUUAAGCAAGACCCUGCUAUUUUGCGAUUUUCAGAGGAAAAGAUCAGGGGUGUGAUGGAUUUCUUGGUGAAUACUGUGGGAUUGAGGCCACAAACUAUUAUUGCAAACCCUUUGUUUCUUCAUUACUCAAUUAACAAAAGGCUUCGACCAAGGUAUAAUGUUUUGAAGGCUUUGGAGUCGAAGAAGCUCUUUGAUGAGGGCAUGAGCAUUGGGUCGGCGCUAAAAAUGAGCGAGAAGAAAUUCAUGAAGAAUUAUGUUUCCAAGUAUGUACACAGUGUCCCCGGUAUAUUGGACACAUAUAAGGGUAUCAUCAAGCCUAUAAAGAUGGAUACUUGAUGGAAAAAGAUGCAUGCUUACCUUGCACUGCAAAUUAAGUACUCAACCUCCUCUUGGACCCAAAAUCUUUACAGACAGUUCUCUUGCCCUAACAUAUGUUCUCGUUACUUGUAAAAAUUGGUGAUGCAAGGAUCAAGGAAGUAAUUCUUAUGGAGGGUCUGUCUCGACUUCCUUGUAUCCAGACUAUGAUUUUAAGAAAAAAAAUGCUCUCCAGCGUUGUUAGCAAAGCUCUUCACUACUUUGCAGCUUGAAGGAACGUGUUGACUUUGCAAUCAACUUGGAAACUUUUAAUUUGGAUUUUGUUUCUCUCAGGCUCUGUUUCUUUUGGGCUAGAAUGCAUCGAGAAGCUACAGAGAGACAAAUUACUGCAUUUUCUGGCAUAAUUUUCAUCUAACUAUCAUCUUCAACAUAGCAUUCAUUGACCUCCAGCUUGGCUCUUAAUCUUUAUAAGCAAUAGUUAACAGUUUGGGAAAAUAUGAUAGCACGAGGCUUGUCAAAGUUAACAAGUGCAGCUCUUGCUGACUGUUUUAGCAGCAGGUAAUUUUGCUGGAGAUGCUGAUUUCGAGUGUGUUUAUCAUCAAAGGGCCAUUCAGCUUCCUCUCUCUCUCCAGGUAAUCAUCUAGCCACCCUAGAGGCUAGGUACAUGCUCCUUCUGCAAGGCCUAUCCUCUUAACUUUUCUUGACAUUUUUUGUUUACCUUUGGUAAUUCUGCCACGCAGAACAGGAGGUUAUUCUUUGAAAGAACCGGUGAAGCUUCUUUGUGUCCAAUUUGACACCCAAUUUCUCUCUUAAGAAAAUUCAAACUCAUCCUGUUGUCUCUGUAUCUAUUAAAAAUAUAAAAUCUUUGCUCCAAAAAUGGCCACAUUAUCCA